GACGAACGCUGGCGGCGUGCUUAACACAUGCAAGUCGAACGGAAAGGCCCUGCUUUUGUGGGGUGCGCGAGUGGAGAACGGGGGAGUUACACGUGAGUUAGCUAUACCUGACCUUGGGGUAACUUCAGGACACUGGGGCUAAUACCGGAAAAGAGCUCCCGCCGCUUGGUGGGGGUUGGUAAGUUUCGGCGGUUGGGGAUGGACUCGCGGCGUAUCAGCUUGGUGGGGGGGUAGUGGCUUACCAAGGCUUUGACGGGUAGCAGGCCUGAGAGGGUGACCGGCCACAUUGGGACUGAGAUACGGCCCAGACUCCUACGGGAGGCAGCAGUGGGGAAUAUUGCACUAUGGGCGGAAGCCUGAUGCAGCAACGCCGCGUGCGGGAUGACGGCCUUCGGGUUGUAAACCGCUUUCGCCUGUGACGAAGCGUGAGUGACGGUAAUGGGUAAAGAAGCACCGGCUAACUACGUG
rnacentral:rRNA from 1 species